GAGCUAAGGUCUCACUGUGUGGCUCAGGCUGGUCUCAAACUCCUGGGCUUAAGUGAUCCUCCUGCCUUGGCCUCCCAGAGUGUUGGGAUUACAGGCGUGAGCUGCUGUGCCCAGCCCAAAUGUAGAUUUUUUAAGCACCCAAAGCACUUUAAACAUCUAGCUAGACUUGAGAAUCACUGUAUUCGCUGAUCUCAAUUCACUUCCAGUUCUAUCAUUCUAUCAUUCUAAGGCAUCUACCUACAAAUUGACUGAGGCAGGACUUUAUUCUGAUAGGAGUGCCAAUUUAACUGCCUUUGCUUUCCGUUUUGUUACAUAUCUUUCUGUGCAGGACUCAAGAAAGAAAGGCUUUAGCUUUUAAUCUAAGGAACCCAACAUCUUUAUUCCUGUUUAUCCCACUCAGUGUCCAGAUUAAGCCCAAAAAGUCAUGUCAGCGUUUAGUGCAGAUGUAUGUU
rnacentral:lncRNA from 1 species